rnacentral:lncRNA from 1 species
UGAUGAAAAGAUAACGGAAUUUUAUCUCGCUACUUCAUCAAUAGUAAAUAAUUAAUUUGUAUUUUUGUCCGCUUUCGAUUUGUUCACUCUUUGAUUAAAAGGAGCAGCGAUUUUAGGGGAAAGUGAUUUUACCGCUUCAGUUAAAGAUGGGCAAGAAAUAGAGAAAGAUAAUAGUUUUAAGAUUGUGAAGGAAAAAUAGUAGUGUACUUGUGUUCUUUAUUGAAAUAAUGUUCAUUAUUUCAAAGAUCGUCUUGGUGAGAACAUCUCCUUCUGACAAAAGUAUUUCCACCUACUUUUGUUCUAAGUUAAAAAAAAAAGUUUAAUAAAAUUAUUAUAUAUGUACAAUGUGGUUCCAGAUAGAGACCACGAGGCAGGACGCGUCAGAUCUUCUUAAAUCACCACUCUCAACAGGAGAUAUUUUCUUCAUAAUUCCAUUCCCUAGACUGAACAAGAACAACUAACCAGAAGGCAAAACCGUUCUCACAUAAGGUCAUUGGUACCUCUUGAAUAGGCUGUGUGGAAUGAAGUUGAUACAUGUGGCAGGUCUCAAGACUACAAUUGAGUGGGAGUGGGUCAAUAUGUCUCAAAACAUCGUUAUUUUGUAUGGCAAGUUGUUCAGGGACCGUGUAGAGGCAAUUUUGGCUGCAAUGGGAGGGGGAGCUAUUUUGAAAAAUAAAUGUAGAAUAACAGUUCAUCUUUUGCAUAAAGAAUUACUGAUCUAUCUCUUAUUAUAGUAUUAUAAAUUGUAACUUACAUUAUUUAAAAAAGUCUGCACAGUUUUCUUAUACCUUGGCCCACAUGGUCUAAUAAGCUGAAAUCGAGUUAAAGAUUCUGAAUAUCUGUGUUACAAAAAAAAAAAAGAAAAAAAAAGCCCUUCAGUUGGGAGAAUUGCUUAAUUACUGAAUUAUCUAAUGAUUUUAGGCCUUUAGUUAUCUCUCUUUUCAAAGAAUAUUGAGAGAUGCAAUGCGAUCAAUAAUUAAUAACAAGAUACAAGGCAGAUGACAAAAAAAAAAUCAGACUCAGUCAUUCCUUGUAACUGGAAAAAUAUGGUGUGUCACAAGUCACGACCAAUUAAUGACAAACAUAUUUCAAAUACUCCUGCCAGUAUUUAUAUAAUACAUAAUUUGGUUAGUAGAUAUUUAUCAUCAUAUUAUAUAUGAUAUAGUGGCUUCUAUAAGCUCGAUAAACAAAUAAUAUGUACAAAAGAUAAGAUAAACUUUUUGCAGAAUAGUUUUAUCAAAACUUUUAUUGUAUUUAUUUAUUUCUCUUUCAUAAACAAUCAAAUUAAUUGCUAA